rnacentral:rRNA from 1 species
AGAGUUUGAUCCUGGCUCAGGAUGAACGCUAGCGGCAGGCCUAACACAUGCAAGUCGAGGGGCAGCAUUUCCAGUUUACUGGAAGAUGGCGACCGGCGCACGGGUGAGUAACGCGUAUAGAAUCUGCCCUUUACUGGGGAAUAGCCCGAAGAAAUUUGGAUCAAUGCCCCAUGGUCCCUAUGUAUGGAUUCAUAUAUAGGGUAAAGGUUACGGUAAAGGAUGACUAUGCGUCCCAUUAGUUAGUUGGUAGGGUAACGGCCUACCAAGACUGCGAUGGGUAGGGGCCCUGAGAGGGGGAUCCCCCACACUGGUACUGAGACACGGACCAGACUCCUACGGGAGGCAGCAGUGAGGAAUAUUGGACAAUGGGCGAGAGCCUGAUCCAGCCAUGCCGCGUGCAGGAAGACGGUCCUAUGGAUUGUAAACUGCUUUUAUACGGGAAGAACCUAGGGCACGUGUGCUCUACUGACGGUACCGUAAGAAUAAGGAUCGGCUAACUCCGUGCCAGCAGCCGCGGUAAUACGGAGGAUCCGAGCGUUAUCCGGAAUCAUUGGGUUUAAAGGGUCCGUAGGCGGGCCAUUAAGUCAGGGGUGAAAGUCUGCGGCUCAACCGUAGAAUUGCCCUUGAUACUGGUGGUCUUGAGUUAUGGUGAAGUAACUAGAAUAUGUGGUGUAGCGGUGAAAUGCAUAGAUAUCACAUAGAAUACCGAUUGCGAAGGCAGGUUACUAACCAUAUACUGACGCUGAUGGACGAAAGCGUGGGGAGCGAACGGGAUUAGAUACCCCGGUAGUCCACGCCGUAAACGAUGGAUACUAGCUGUCCGGCAGCAAUGCUGGGCGGCCAAGCGAAAGUGAUAAGUAUCCCACCUGGGGAGUACGUCCGCAAGGAUGAAACUCAAAGGAAUUGACGGGGGCCCGCACAAGCGGUGGAGCAUGUGGUUUAAUUCGAUGAUACGCGAGGAACCUUACCAGGGCUUAAAUGUAGUCUGACAGCUUUAGAGAUAGAGUUUUCUUCGGACAGAUUACAAGGUGCUGCAUGGUUGUCGUCAGCUCGUGCCGUGAGGUGUCAGGUUAAGUCCUAUAACGAGCGCAACCCCUGCCGUUAGUUGCCAGCAUGU